GAUGAACGCUGGCGGCGUGCCUAAUACAUGCAAGUCGAGCGAACAGACGAGGAGCUUGCUCCUCUGACGUUAGCGGCGGACGGGUGAGUAACACGUGGAUAACCUACCUAUAAGACUUGGAUAACUUCGGGAAACCGGAGCUAAUACCGUAUAAUAUAUUGAACCGCAUGGUUCUAUAUUGAAAGACGGUUUUGCUGUCACUUAUAUAUGGAUCCUCGCUGCAUUAGCUAGUUGGUAAGGUAACGGCUUACCAAGGCAACGAUGCGUAGCCGACCUGAGAGAAGGAUAGGCAAAAGUGGAAAUUAGACACGGUGCAGACUCAUAGGGGAGGCAGAAGGAGGGAAUCUUCCGCAAUGGGCGAAAGCCUGACGGAGCAAAGCAGCGUGAGUGAUGAAGGUCUACGGAUCGUAAAACUAUGUUAUUAGAGAAGAACAAAUAUGAAAGUAACAAUGAACGAAUUAAAGGUACCAAAUCAGAAAGCCACGGCUAACUACGUG
rnacentral:rRNA from 1 species